rnacentral:rRNA from 1 species
UACGAAGGGGGCUAGCGUUGUUCGGAAUUACUGGGCUUGAAGCGCACGUAGGCGGCGUUGUAAGUGUCGGGUGAAAUCCCACGGCUCACCCGUGGAACUGCCCGGCAUACUGCGAUGCUAGAGUGUGGUAGGGGAGAGCGGAACUCCUGGUGGAGCGGUGAAAUGCGUAGAUAUCAGGAGGAACACCGGUGGCGAAGGCGGCUCUCUGGUCCACAACUGACGCUGAGGUGCGAAAGCUAGGGGAGCAAACGGG